CCUACGGGUGGCAGCAGUGGGGAAUAUUGGGCAAUGGAGGAAACUCUGACCCAGCAACGCCGCGUGAAUGAUGAAGGUCUUCGGAUUGUAAAGUUCUUUUCUCAGGGAAGAAGAAAGUGACGUUACCUUACGAAUAACCCUCGGCUAACUACGUGCCAGGAGCCGCGGUAAUACGUAGGAGGCAAGCGUUAUCCGGUAUGACUGGGCGUAAAGGGUUCGUAGGUGGUUUGACAAGGUUAUCGCGAAUCUCCGGGGGUGAACCACGGCACAACUACCAAACCUGGUGGACUUGAGGGCAGGAGGGGCAAGUGGAAUUCCUAGGGGAGCGGUGGAAUGCGUAGAUAUUAGGAGGAAAACCAGGGGCGAAGGCGGUUUGCUGGACUGGAACUGACACUGAGGCACGAAAGCGUGGGGAGCAAACAGGAUUAGAUACCCGUGUAGUC
rnacentral:rRNA from 1 species